UAGCAAUAAAAAUGUGACAGUAAUGUGUUCACCCGUGGUCGUCCGUGGUAAUGUUCAUGAGGAAUUACAGGCACCUCUAUCCUAGGUGUAGCCUACUCAAUGCUUGCCAGUGCUCUCUGGCCAAUGGUUGCACUUGUAAUUCCAGAAUAUCUACUGGGAACAGCAUAUGGCAGAUAUGCAGGAAGAAACAUGACGAAAUGAUAUUCAGAGGUUGGCAUGCAUGUCGAGUUAGUGUCCAGAAGUUUGGGUUGUUUGACAAAUCUGGAACACAAACAGUGAUACUGAGAUCUCACAGUGGUUCUGUGUCUAGGUUUCUUUGGAGAUUUUCUGAACGAACUGACACCUGCAGCCAGUUUCUGCUACUAGGAUCCAUUUGACUCUAUCCGAUUAGAUAGUCUAUCAUUUCUUUUUCAGGCGUUUGACCCGAUGCGGUGUGUUUAUCGGUUGCUGUUGUUCGCAAAACGUUCACUUUUUAAAUAUCUUAUUUUAUUUUUCCUAAGCAGUGAUGCUAAGAAGAAUAGUCAGAGUAAAGUAAUUCUGUGUUUGAAGAACUGUAAGGUUCUGUAGUAAGUUUUCCCUGUUCGUUUUCACAUUUUGUGAGUGACGUGUGCAACAGAAGACGGAAGAGGAGAGGUUUCUGCGCAGUUUUUCGUGCAGGAAAGGCACUGAAGAGCUCUGCAGAUUGGAAUCUUUGACGGAAAAACGGAAACGGAAGAUGCUAUAAUC